UUAAUGCUAUCUCUGACUUUUAUAUCGAAAUCGGACAAAAACUGAGUAUGUUUUUCACACAGGCUCUGCCCAAAAAGAAAGAGAUUCACAUUUUUUAAUGUUAUUCAUGUCAUUCCAUAUAAAAGAAGUGGAUUAAGUGGCCAGCAUUUUUUAAUAUUUUGCUAUCCGUAGCUGCGUGACAACGAUCCUGAAAUAAAUAUUGAACAAUAUGAAAAGAGAAGAUGCCUUAAACAUGUGGAAAUCCUAACUGCUGCAAUACACAGACGGCUGCCUUUGACGGGCAGAUUUUAUUUGAAGUGUACAGUAAACAGCCAAAGUUUCCCAUCCACUAAUUGAAUAAGUUAGUUUUCCGGAACGGAACAUGCGGUUAUAGUUGGCUUCCUCUGGUUCGGUGGAGUGGAGUGGAAUGGAAUGGAUUCCCCGUGGCACGAAAUGUUGCACACAGCGAUGGCUUAACUUUUCGACUUCCAUUUAUUUGCAAACACACACUCAUCAUCAUUUGGGCCUGCCUGGCCGUGCCGAAAUACCAUUAAAAUCACAUUUCGAUUUAAUUUGCAUAAAUUGAAGUCGAGGCGCAGGCCAGUGGAAAAUGAAGCCGAAUGGCAAAUGGCAAAAUGGCAGUCUAAACAUGCACUAAAGCGCCAUUCAAAAUCGAUUCGAAAUCAAUUAGUGAGUGAUUUGCAAUAUAUAAUAUAUUAAAUGAAAUGCUUAGCCACUGUGAAGUAAA